UCCCUGAUGGCUCAGAGGUUAAAGCAUCUGCCUCCAAUGCAGGAGACCCAGGUUUGAUCCCUGGGUUGGGAA
rnacentral:tRNA from 1 species